UGGGGAAUAUUGGACAAUGGGGGCAACCCUGAUCCAGCAAUGCCGCGUGUGUGAAGAAGGUCUUCGGAUUGUAAAGCGCUUUCGACGGGGACGAUGAUGACGGUACCCGUAGAAGAAGCCCCGGCUAACUUCGUGCCAGCAGCCGCGGUAAUACGAAGGGGGCUAGCGUUGCUCGGAAUGACUGGGCGCAAAGGGCGUGUAGGCGGUUUACACAGUCAGAUGUGAAAUCCCCGGGCUUAACCUGGGAGCUGCAUUUGAUACGUGUAGACUAGAGUGUGAGAGAGGGUUGUGGAAUUCCCAGUNUAGAGGUGAAAUUCGUAGAUAUUGGGAAGAACACCGGUGGCGAAGGCGGCAACCUGGCUCAUGACUGACGCUGAGGCGCGAAAGCGUGGGGAGCAAACAGGAUUAGAUACCCGUGGUAGUCCACGCUGUAAACGAUGUGUGCUAGAUGUUGGGUAACUUUGUUAUUCAGUGUCGCAGUUAACGCGUUAAGCACACCGCCUGGGGAGUACGGCCGCAAGGUUGAAACUCUAAAGUGAA
rnacentral:rRNA from 1 species